rfam:Gossypium raimondii Chr04_contig_1282, whole genome shotgun sequence.
AGUUAAAAAUUUCAUCCAUCUGUAUUCUUAAAAGCUAACUUAGCUGACAAAAUAAUCAAACAAUAACAUGUGAUGUUCUACGUAUACCUUAUACUGAUAUACAAGAACCCUUUUAACAGUAUGAAUAGAUGAAAUUUUUAACA